rnacentral:rRNA from 1 species
CUACGGGGGGCAGCAGUUAGGCAUAAUCUACAAUGCACGCAAGUGUGAUAGUUUGAGCCAGAGUGCUAUUCAAUGAAUAGCUUUUGCUAAAUGUAAAAAGUUUGGCGAAUAAGGACUGGGUAAGACGAGUGCCAGCCGCCGCGGUAAUACUCGCGGUCCAAGUCGCAGCCAUUUUUAUUGGGUCUAAAACAUCCGUAGCUUGUUCAGUAAGUUUCUUGUGAAAUCCUACAUCUUAAGUGUGGGGCGGGCAAGAAGUACUGCUGGGCUAGAGACUGGGAGACGUAAUGAGUACAUUCAAAGUAGCGGUAAAAUGUUUUAAUCUUGAAUGGACUUACAAUAGCGAAGGCACGUUACGAGAACAGUUCUGACAGUAAGGGAUGAAGGCUAGGGGCGCAAAACGGAUUAGAUACCCCAGUAGUC